UGAGGCGCAUUUAUUUGUCUCAUUCAAAUAAAUACCAUUUAAAUUCCAUUAUAAAGUUUUAUUUUGAAAAUAAACGGGACAGGGUACAAAUUAUGAGUUCAAUAAAUGGCCAUGCAGGUCAAGGAAUACAAGAGCAAGGGCACGCUUCAGGUCGUCUUGUUGUCUCCUCCCAGCCAUCACCAACCAUUCUGAACUCUGAUCACUCUAUCAGCUGUUGAAGGAGACUGAGGGAGGAAAGAACUCAGAGGAAGAUCAAUCCAAGAGUGACGAUGGUGCCUCAGAUCAGAGUGAUUUGCAGUGCAGAUGGCAAGGAAGGACUCGAGAGUGAUGUUCUGCUGAGACGGCACUGGGCCCCAAAGACACUAUAUGAGACAAGAAAACUGGCAAGACUCUGCUCUUGACUUCAGAGAACUUUUGCUAGACAUCAACCAUACAGAAGUGUCUUGUCUAUUGAAAAUGUUGGAGUAGCAGUAUCAGGAUGACCUUUUGUUACUUUUUGCCAUCCGUCAAUUAUAUUAGUUUUAUGCUCUUUAAUUUCAUAAAAGAAUUUCACACUAAAGCAGAUAGAACAAAUGGCAAUUGUCAUUGACUUUCAGUCCCCAUUUACUAAUUUCCCCAGAAAAUCUGGCUUAUGAUUUUAUCAGAAAGAAAAUGAUCAUACAUCAUUGACUUUAUAAAACUAGUCAUAUUAAAAUUCAAAAUUUGUUAAAUUUAGUUAUUAUUAACAUGUAAUGUAAAAUAACAUGUAAUGUAAAAUAUUUUAUUGUUACUUUUUUUUUUACUUGUGAGCAAACCUGUGUGUGUGUGUGUGGCAGUCAGCAACUGAGAAAGGUUUCUUUAAUUCUUUGCAAGAGAAUUUAAGUACAAUGGAAAUAGCAUAUUAACUUCUUUGAAACAGAGUGUGGUAGACAAAAUAACAGUUCUCUAAACAACCACAUUUGAGAAUAAUAUAUUUCCUUUCUUGGCAAAAGGGACUUUGCUGAUGUGAGUAAGAGUGAGGACCUUUUAGGUAGGAAGGUGAUCCUGGAUUCUCAAUGUAGGUCCAAACUACUCAUGUAGUCCCUUAAAAGCAGAGCACCUUUCCCAACUUUGAUCAAAAAGAGGAUGUGGAAAUGGCAGAUGAUUCAGAGAGCUGUCAUGGGGCCAGUUCUGAAGAUAGAAACAGGCUGCACACCAAGGAAUGUGGAAAGGUGUUGGAAAAGGUGGGGAAAGAGAUUCUCAUUUAGAGCCUCCAGAGGGUGACCAGCUCAGGUGGACAUCUUGAUUUUAGCUUUGUGAGACCUGUGUCAGACUUCCAACCUUCCAAAGUCCUACAUAU